rnacentral:rRNA from 1 species
GAUGAACGCUGGCGGCGUGCCUAAUACAUGCAAGUCGAGCGAACGGACGAGAAGCUUGCUUCUCUGAUGUUAGCGGCGGACGGGUGAGUAACACGUGGAUAACCUACCUAUAAGACUGGGAUAACUUCGGGAAACCGGAGCUAAUACCGGAUAAUAUUUUGAACCGCAUGGUUCAAAAGUGAAAGACGGUCUUGCUGUCACUUAUAGAUGGAUCCGCGCUGCAUUAGCUAGUUGGUAAGGUAACGGCUUACCAAGGCAACGAUGCAUAGCCGACCUGAGAGGGUGAUGGGCCACACGGGGACUGAGACACGGUCCAGACUCCUAAGGGAGGCAGCAGUAGGGAAUCUUCCGCAAUGGGCGGAAACCUGACGGAGCAACGCCGCGUGAGUGAUGAAGGUCUUCGGAUCGUAAAACUCUGUUAUUCGGGAAGAACAUAUGUGUAAGUAACUGGGCACAUCUUGACGGUACCUAAUCAGAAAGCCACGGCUAACUACGUG